UUCUCUUCUGUGUUAGGUAUUUAUAUU
rnacentral:piRNA from 1 species